CGCCCCAUGAACUCGCAGUAUGUACACAUUGGACCCUCGAGGAAGAAGAGGAAUAUGACCAGCCUACACGCCGUAUAGAUCAGUGCUUCGCCCACAGAGGGAACUGCGACUAACUGACAGCGAGGAAGAAUGCCGAGGAGAAAACAAUCAAACCCACAGCCCGUCAAAUUAGACGGUGUGGAGUGUGAACCAGGAUGCCUGGUUCUGGACAGUGACUUCCUGCUUAGUGGAGAGCUCUGUGAGUUUGGAGACACAGAGAUCAUGGGGCUGGACAGAGACACAGGUCAGACACACACACACACACACACACACACACUUACACAUAUACACAAACACGGACCAACUUGAUCUCAUAGUUUCACUUCCGAAAUUAUGGAUGAACGUCUAUUUUGUGAUGCAUUAGUUCUGCGUGGUUACAGGUUUACUUCCGAACGGUAAAGGGUUAACUCCGAACGGUAAACCGGGUUAACUCCGAAUGGUAAACAGGGUUAACUCCGAGUGGUAAACAGGGUUAACUCCGAACGGUAAACAGGGUUAACUCCGAGUGGUAAACAGGGUUAACUCCGAACGGUAAACAGGGUUAACUCCGAGUGGUAAACAGGGUUAACUCCGAGUGGUAAACAGGGUUAACUCCGAGUGGUAAACAGGGUUAACUCCGAGUGGUAAACAGGGUUAACUCCGUGCGGUAAACAGGGUUAACUCCGAGUGGUAAACAGGGUUAAUUCUGCAUAGUUUAAAAUAGAAACAACUCGAAAGGUUGAAGCUUAGGUAUUAUUAAGUCCGAGGGGUUAAUGUCCACGCCCCCGUGGGAAUUCUUUUAGCAUAAUAACACAAUCCCCAUUUUAAAAUCCAUCAGUUUAAACUAGAGAUAUCACCUUUUGUUGCAUUGGAUUGCGUCUCAAUCCCAUGGCAUCCACCGAUGUCUCACUUUCCCAUCUGCGGUGAAAGGUGACCGAGCUAGAGCGGUGUUUGUCAGACCAAGAGACAUCCAGAAAAUCAUUAUUCUCACAAAAUUGGUUUUGCAACAUCCGGAUGGUUUGGCCUUCAAAACUAUUAUGAAAAGACGAGACUCUCACAAACAUGACGGUGUUCUCUGUUUUUCUCUACGACCCCCACAAGAGUCUUGGGACCCGUGUGAAGCCGGUACCGCUGAUCUGCCAACCUCUGUCUGUGGCGAACAGUUUGGGUUACACACUAAUAUGGACCCGUCUGUGGAAAGGUGAGACGGUGUCUUUUGUGGGUGGGUGUCUUUUGCUCUAGGACACCCGCAGGUCUCACAGGACUUGUCUGAAGGUUCGCCUGCACCAGUUGAAAACAUUUAUGAAAUAAUAUAUAGAGACUAUUUAGUCACAAUAAUAAGGGGUUAAAUAUAUGUUUUAAAAAAACCAAACAUAUAUUAUUUAUGUAGGACAAACUUGGACAAACUUGAUUUUGUUUCUGUUCCAUGUAGUGAAUAUGGUAUUCAAUGCGUUUCUAUGGGCUAAUAGAUGUGAGGCCAAAUUAUAAUUUUUCAUCAAAUAAUGUUUUUUUUUUUUUAUUCAAGUUUCCUUAAACUUCUAACUCAAAUAGCUAAAUGAUCCUUGGUAUGACUUUCUGAAAACAACUCCAUAUAGCUCCAUAUAGCUUAGUACAACCCCCCCGGCUUGGACAGGGCUUAGUCUGUAGAGGGUUAAGGUUUGGCCUCGGGGGUUUGGGGAAUGCGCUGUUUCCAUCAAGUAUCAUCUAGAGCAUUGUGAACUGGAGUGGUCAGAGCAGCAUGCUUCGGUCUAAUGCCACGUUCAAAACAAUGGAGAACUGUGAAAAUUACGAGGUCAAAUCAUGACGGAGCUGAUCUUCAAGUUGGAAAGUCAGAACUCUAGAAAGAGGCCAGAGUUCCUGAGUUGAAUUCUGAGUUCAAAACAAAAAAUGUCCCUUCCCAGUCGGAGCGCAUUUUUUCUCCCCCAGAGUUCCUGAGUUGUUUUGAACCCAGCAUAAGCAGCGCUCUUCGCCUCCCAGCAUCACACCAGUGCUCUGCAAUAAUUUUCAAAACAUUUUAUAUAUAUUUUUUGUAGGUCGAUAUCUUCAGUGACCUUUUCAGAUGUCCGCAAUAGAAUGCUAUUUCUAGUGACUAAUAGAAUGCUAUUUCUACUGACCAAUAGAAUGCUGUUUCUACUGACCAAUAGAAUGCUGUUUCUAGUAACCAAUAGAAUGCUGUUUCUAGUGACCAAUAGAAUGCUGUUUCUAGUGACCAAUAGAAUGCUGUUUCUAGUGACCAAUAGAAUGCUGUUUCUAGUGACCAAUAGAAUGCUGUUUCUAGUGACCAAUAGAAUGCUGUUUCUAGUGACCAAUAGAAUGCUAUUUCUAGUGACCAAUAGAAUGCUAUUUCUAGUGACCAAUAGAAUGCUAUUUCUAGUGACCAAUAGAAUGCUAUUUCUAGUGACCAAUAGAAUGCUAUUUCCAUUGACCAAUAGAAUGCUAUUUCCAGUGACCAAUAGAAUGCUGUUUUUAGUGACCAAUAGAAUGCUGUUUCUAGUGACCAAUAGAAUGCUGUUUCUAGUGACCAAUAGAAUGCUGUUUCUAGUGACCAAUAGAAUGCUGUAUCUAGUGACCAAUAGAAUGCUGUUUCUAGUGACCAAUAGAAUGCUAUUUCUAGUCACCAGUAGAAUGCUUUUUCUAGUGACCAAUAGGAUGCUUUUUCUAGUGACGAAUAGGAUGCUUUUUCUAGUGACCAAUAGAAUGCUGUUUCUAGUAACCAGGCUGACACUGACAAGUACACAGACACACACUUACAGGGCAUUCGGAAAAUUUUCAGACCCCAUGACUUUUUCCACUAUUUGUUAUGUUACAGCCUUAUUCUAAAAUGUAUUAAAUAAUUUCCCCCCCUCAUCAAUCUAAACACAAUACCCCAUUUAAAAAAUGUAUUUUUAGACAUUUUAGCAAAUGUAAAAAAACAAAACUGAAAUAUCAGAUUUACAUAAGUAUUCAUACCCUUUACUCAGUACUUUGUUGAAGCACCUUUGACAGCGAUUACAGCCUUGACUCUUCUUGGGUAUGACGCUACAAACUUGUCACACCUGUAUUUAGGGAGUUUCUCCCAUUCUUCUCUGCAGAUCCUCUCAAACUCUGUUGGGUUAGAUGGGGAGGUCUCUCCAGAGAUGUUCGAUCGGAUUCUGGCUGGGCCACCCAAGGACAUUGAGACUUUUCCCAAAGCCACUCCUACAUUGUCUUGGCUGUGUGCUUAGGUUUGUUGUCCUGUUGGAAGGUGAACCUUCACCCCAGUCUGAAGUCCUGAGCACUCUGGAGCAGGUUUUCAUCAAGGAUCUCUGUACUUUGCUCCGUUCAUCUUUCCCUCGAUCCUGACCAGUCUCUCUGAAAAACAUCCAUGCUUCACCAUAGGGAUGGUAUUGGCCAGAUGCUGAGCGGUGCCUUGUUUCUUCCAGUCGUGACAUUUGGCAUUCAAGCCAAAGAGUUCAAUCUUGGUUUCAUCAGACCAGAGAAUCUUGUUUCUCGUGAUCUGAGAGUCAUUAGGUGCCUUUUGGCGAACUCCAAGCAGGCAGUCAUGUGCCUUUUGCUGAGGAGUGGCUUCCGUCUGGCCACACUACCAUAAAGGCCUGAUUGGUGGAGUGCUGCGGAGAUGGUUGUCCUUCUGGAAGGUUCUCCCAUCUCCACAGAGGAACUCUGGAGCUCUGUCAGAGUGACCAUUGGAUUCUUGGUCGCUUCCCUGACCAAGGCCCUUCUCCCCCGAUUUCUCAGUUUGGCCGGGUGGCCAGCUCUAGGAAGAGUCUUGGUGGUUCCAAACUUCUUCCAUUUAAGAAUGAUGGAGGCCACUGUGUUCUUGGGGACCUUCAAUAACGUUGUAGAAACAUCUCAAGGAUGAUCGACGGAAACAGUAUGCACCUGAGCUUAAUGUUGAAACUAAUGAAUACUAAUGUAAAUAAGGUAUUUCUGGAUUUUUAUUUUUGUAUAAAUUUGCAAACGUUUCUAAACCUGUUUUCGCUUCGUCAUUAUGGGGUAUUGUGUUUAGAUUGAUGAGGAAUUUCUUUCAUUUAAUCCAUUUUAGAAUUAAGCUGUAACUUAACAAAACGUGGAAAAAGUCCAGGGGUCUGAAUACUUUCUGAAUGCAUUGAAUAUGGUGUUGUAUGCUCCUUCCCUCUCUCUCUCCCUUGCUCUCUUCCUCUCUCUCUAACCCUUUCUCUCUACUCCUCUCUUUGUCCUCGCUCUAGCACUCUCCCUCCUUCUCUCUCUCCCUCCUCUCUCUCUCCCUCCUUCUCUCUCUCUCCCUCCUUCUCUCUCUCUCCCUCCUUCUCUCUCUCUCCCUCCUUCUCUCUCCUUCUCUCUC
ensembl:lncRNA